rnacentral:rRNA from 1 species
GUUGAACGCUGGCGGCGUGCCUAAUACAUGCAAGUCGAGCGAACAGACGAGGAGCUUGCUCCUCUGACGUUAGCGGCGGACGGCUGAGUAACACGUGGAUAACCUACCUAUAAGACUGGGAUAACUUCGGGAAACCGGAGCUAAUACCGGAUAACAUGUUGAACCGCAUGGUUCAACAGUGAAAGACGGUCUUGCUGUCCCUUAUAGAUGGAUCCGCGCCGCAUUAGCUAGUUGGUAAGGUAACGGCUUACCAAGGCAACGAUGCGUAGCUGACCUGAGAGGGUGAUCAGCCACACUGGAACUGAGACACGGUCCAGACUCCUACGGGAGGCAGCAGUGGGGAAUAUUGCACAAUGGGCGAAAGCCUGAUGGAGCAACGCCGCGUGGGUGAAGAAGGUCUUCGGAUCGUAAAGCUCUUUUAUUAGGGAAGAAGAAAUGUGUGAUAAACUAUGCACGUCUUGACGGUACCUAAAGAGAAAGCCACGGCUAACUACGUG